UACGAAGGGGGCUAGCGUUGCUCGGAAUUACUGGGCGUAAAGCGCACGUAGGCGGCUUUCUAAGUCGGGGGUGAAAUCCUGGAGCUCAACUCCAGAACUGCCUUCGAUACUGGAGAGCUCGAGUCCGGGAGAGGUGAGUGGAACUGCGAGUGUAGAGGUGAAAUUCGUAGAUAUUCGCAAGAACACCAGUGGCGAAAGGCG
rnacentral:rRNA from 1 species